ACUUUCGGGUAAUUGAGAGUGGCGAACGGGUGCGUAACGCGUAUGCAACCUACCCUAUACAGGGGGAUAGCCCGGAGAAAUCUGGAUUAAUACCCCAUGGUACCAAGUUGAGGCAUUUUGAUUUGGUUAAAGAUUCAUCGGUAUAGGAUGGGCAUGCGUCUGAUUAGCUAGUUGGCGGUGUAACGGACCACCAAGGCUACGAUCAGUAGGGGUUCUGAGAGGAAGGUCCCCCACACUGGCACUGAGAUACGGGCCAGACUCCUACGGGAGGCAGCAGUAGGGAAUAUUGGGCAAUGGACGAGAGUCUGACCCAGCCAUGCCGCGUGCAGGAAGACGGCGUUCUGCGUUGUAAACUGCUUUUAUCUGGGAAGAAAAAGCCCCUGCGGGGGAAAUUGCCGGUACCAGAUGA
rnacentral:rRNA from 1 species